AUUGAACGCUGGCGGCAGGCCUAACACAUGCAAGUCGAGCGGAUGAAGGGAGCUUGCUCCUGGAUUCAGCGGCGGACGGGUGAGUAAUGCCUAGGAAUCUGCCUGGUAGUGGGGGAUAACGUCCGGAAACGGGCGCUAAUACCGCAUACGUCCGGAGGGGGAAAGUGGGGGAUCUUCGGACCUCACGCUAUCAGAUGAGCCUAGGUCGGAUUAGCUAGUUGGUGGGGUAAAGGCCUACCAAGGCGACGAUCCGUAACUGGUCUGAGAGGAUGAUCAGUCACACUGGAACUGAGACACGGUCCAGACUCCUACGGGAGGCAGCAGUGGGGAAUAUUGGACAAUGGGCGAAAGCCUGAUCCAGCCAUGCCGCGUGUGUGAAGAAGGUCUUCGGAUUGUAAAGCACUUUAAGUUGGGAGGAAGGGCAGUAAGUUAAUACCUUGCUGUUUUGACGUUACCAACAGAAUAAGCACCGGCUAACUUCGUG
rnacentral:rRNA from 1 species